UCCCUGCCUCCAUUCCGCCCCUCAAUGCAGUCUUCAUUUUUGUCUGGUGAGGAUGGAGCACCACCACACUGAGGUCUGCGUUGCCCUGACGACCAGUUGAGCUGAACGACUAUAGGCAUUCCGGCCUGUGGCAAACGGUAACAGUCGGAAUCUGGGCAAGCUUUGGAAAGGAAGACACAAACCUCAUUUGUUUCCACUUAAGGCCCAGGCCUGAUUUCAAAAGGAAGGCCAUAAGGCUGGACCAGCUCCAGGGACAGACCAUAAAACCCAGCAACAAGGAGGAACAAUGAGCCACAGAGGAAAGCUCCUAUGGUGAUACUUUUUUCCAGACCACAUUUCCCUCGGCUGUUUAAAGAAGAAAUCAACAGCACACGCAGCUGCUUGCACUUCGGUAAGGAGCCAACUGCCAUUCCACUCAAGAUCUCUUAAUUCAAGUAUCCCUGGUUCUAAGAGGAUUGUCUGAGGCCCAAGGAAGAAACCCGGAUGCCUGCUUCCUGAUGUCAAUGGUCCUGCCUCAGGUUCCAGCCCUCUUUGAGUUCCUGUCCUGACUUGCUCCAAUGAUGGAUUGUGAUCUGGAAGUGUAGCCUAAUAAACCUUUCCUCCCUAA
rnacentral:lncRNA from 1 species